rnacentral:rRNA from 1 species
AACGAACGCUGGCGGCGUGCUUAACACAUGCAAGUCGAACGCGAAAGGGACUUCGGUCCUGAGUAAAGUGGCGCACGGGUGAGUAACGCGUAGAUAACCUGUCUUCAUGUCUGGAAUAAUACGCCGAAAGGGGUACUAAUACCGGAUACUCUUGCUUUAUAUAAGUUUUGCAAGCAAAGGUGGCCUCUGCAUAUGCUACUGCAUGAAGAGGGGUCUGCGUACCAUUAGCUAGUAGGUGGGGUAAUGGCCUACCUAGGCGACGAUGGUUAGCGGGUGUGCGAGGAUGAUCCGCCGCAAUUGCAGUGGAACACGGGCCAGACUCCUUUGGAAGGCAGCAGUGAAGAAUAGUGCGCAAUGGCGGCAACCCUGACGCAGCGUCGCAGAUGGAGUGACGAAGGUCUUCGCGUCGUAAAGCUCUGUCAAAGAGAUAGAAGUGCAUGAUAGCUAUUACCUGACAUGUUUGACGGUACCCUUACAGGAAGCACCGGCUAACUGCGUGCCAGCCGCCGCAGUAAAAC